GGCUAGAUUGGACGCUGGCGGCAGGCUUAACACAUGCAAGUCGAGCGGUAACAGAUCCAGCUUGCUGGAUGCUGACGAGCGGCGGACGGGUGAGUAAUGCAUAGGAAACUGCCCAAUAGUGGGGGAUAGCCCGGGGAAACCCGGAUUAAUACCGCAUACGUCCUACGGGAGAAAGCAGGGGCUCUUCGGACCUUGCGCUAUUGGAUGUGCCUAUGUCGGAUUAGCUAGUUGGUGGGGUAAAGGCCUACCAAGGCGACGAUCCGUAGCUGGUCUGAGAGGAUGAUCAGCCACAUCGGGACUGAGACACGGCCCGAACUCCUACGGGAGGCAGCAGUGGGGAAUAUUGGACAAUGGGGGCAACCCUGAUCCAGCCAUGCCGCGUGUGUGAAGAAGGCUUUCGGGUUGUAAAGCACUUUCAGUGAGGAGGAAAACCUUAUGGUUAAUACCCAUGAGGCUUGACGUUACUCACAGAAGAAGCACCGGCUAACUCCGUGCCAGCCGCCGCGGUAAUAC
rnacentral:rRNA from 1 species